GUGUUCACGGGAGCAUAUACACCAAAACUGGAAUGACACAGAGAAGAUUACCAUGGCCCCUGUGCAAGGAUGACAUGCAAAUCUGUGAAGCAUUCCACAUUUUU